UCUUCGUUUUUACUAAGUUUGGUCGGGUUGUUCUUGGCGUAUAUUUUUGAAUUUAGUGCCAUUUUGUGUGUUUUUGGCCAAUCAUUUCAGUGGUAUAAGUGACUCUUGCAACAAUUCAGUUAUUUUCGAGUAAUUGAACGAAAUAAUUUUCGGCGUUUUUUAUUCCUGGUGCUGGCUUCGUUUUUGUGUGUGCGAUACAAAGAAGUGUGCGGUGUGCAGGUGUAUUGUCUACAUAAAGAUCUACAACUUAACAGCAAAUACAUUAUUAGCAUUGUAAGGACCCAAUUCGAAUUUUUAAAUUUCAAAUGAAUUUCGCGCGCGCAAGAAACGGUUGGUAAGAAGAAGAGGUUGGCAACCAACGACACCAAUAAAGAGACAUGCGCAAGAAAAUGUUAGAGUGGUUUUGUCUCGUGUAAAAUCACCCACUUCCCUCUGACCGCUUCGAACAAACAGACGAUUUCCCUCUAACCGCUUCGAGCAAACAGACCACUUCCUUCCGAGCGCUUCGAGCAACAGGUCGUAUUUUUAUUUGUGAAUUAUUCUGUGCCUUUUGCUGUUGUGUUUUGUUUUUCCAGUGUUGAUCUGUUCCAUUGGAAAACCUAGCAGCCCCCGUUGAGCCAUUGGGUGUUCCUGAUUUCUCAUCGUUCUUACGACGAGGUUUUUGUGUUCCUUUUGGCGGUAAGCCGUGUCGAAAUCUUCGCAUCUUUGGAGAGGUAUGUUUUGACCCCAUGUUUUGGACUGGGUCCUGUUUCGCGGCGAGUUUCAAGUGUCGACGGUGCUCCUGACCUCGUGACUCAGCGACGCGUGCGCUUUUUUCCACUAAUCUCGUUUUUUUACCUUUCAUUUAAAAUCCGUCGUAGUAGGGCUUUGCAGGAAGUGAUUUUUAGUUCGGGGCAUGCUUUAUUUAGCUAUAUUUGUGAAAUCUGUAUUUUGGAUGGCGGCAGACGAGUUGUUAUUUUCACCGUUCUUUGUUCAGGCAGCAGCCAUUUUGAAGCGUCCAUUUUGUUUCUUUUAACCGAGCACAUGUUUCAACUGAACCUAUUGCACAAAUUAACAAACAUUGUGGGUCAUGGGGGGACGUGCCUUUUAUUCCUUGAUUUAGCCCAUCGUUUAUACAACGCCACAGGAUUCAUCGCAUUUUUGCAUCGCAUAUUUUCGACGCCUAUUAUUUGGAAUGACGAAUUCGUCCAACGCCAUUUGUGCCUGCAGAUUGUCUGCCAUGUUUUGUUUAUGUGUUUUGUUUGGGGAAAUGUAUGUGUAAUAAUGGCCCACAAUGUAGCUGAAUAAUUUCACGUUUUGAAUUUUAACCAAUAACUUGACUGGACACGAAUUAUUAUCACUCUCAUGUAAAUUUGUUAACUUUGUAAUGUCUCACCUCAUGCAAUUUUUCUUUAUCUCACAAUUUCAGCCUCAGUAAUUUUCUUUGUUGUAUAAUUUGAAUUGAACGUAAAUUUCCAUGCUCUGCAGUUUUGACCUAACAUGAUAUUUUAUUUGCACAAGCUUAUUUCACACCAGAUCUUUGUUUUAUAAAUCUUUGCUAAGUUUUGAUCUUGUAAAUAUUUUGUUGGUGAAUGUUUCUAUCAUGUAAAUUAUCUGAUGUCCAAAUUUAAUCUCAAUUAAGAAUUAUUUGUUGUUGAAUUUUCGUAAGAGUGUGUGGCGAAUUUAAAUGUUGUGUAUUGCUCUUUGUGGAAACUUUAACACUUGUUCGGUUGUCAUUUAAUAUUAGAGCCAUAGAGAUUGAACAUUUAAAUGAAAUUGAGGGUAAAUAACACAUAACUCGUAGUGUACGUGGGGCGCGCGACUCCUUCUCAAACUGACGGGAUUAAUCGCGUCGCCUGCAAAAGUCCGCGGGUUUUGUAUAGCUUCAGGGGGCGAUCGCGGGUUUUUAACGCUGUCGGCUUCUGUACAUAGCCGGGACCCAACUACGGAUCUGCGAUCGUAACCGCCUCGUUUCGCAGGGCACGUUCGUAAUGGAGAUGUGCGUGUGAGCAGGCUUUGGUGUAGAUAGAAUCACCGUCGUGGGGGAGAACAGUGACGAUCAGGAGUCCCAACCUCUACUUGCGCUAUAACGCCCCCUCUGGGUAUUUUGCUGUGCUCGUAAAUGAAAUUGAUAUAUUUUGUUCUAUAUUUUGUUCGAUCGCCACACUCUCAUAAUGAUUCGGGUUCUGCCAUUCAAUUUACAUAUGUGUAGGUCUUGUGUUUGUUCGGUUUUCAUAUGUGUAUGUCUGUCAAUUCGCGAGUGUUUUUCGUUCAUAUAUCUUAAGGUGUUUGACAUAUAAUAUGUCGGUGAAUAAAACCCCAGGGGGUUUUGGGGAAUGAAGACCGAUGACACCUUGGCCCUGCGGACUCGCCAGAAGGGCAAUUCGAACCUCUGUUGUCGUUCUUCGUUUCUUUUUCCUCCUUAGGAAGGCUUUUGACCAACCUAAUUUUGUCUAUUAUUUCUUGCGCUCUCGACCGUGUAUGCACUUGUAUGAAAGAACGUCUUCCCGCCAUUUUUCAAAAACAAAAAAAAAAAACACACAACAUAGGUUCUCAUUUGUUAGACGAUCACAGCCAAGGCCAAACUUUGAAUUUUUGAAUUUUUCGCGGGCCUUUCAAACUGUUUCAAGGUCAAAUUUUAAGGCGGGAAGUUUGGGUUAUCACAGCAUAGAUAUUUUCAUCUGACUUUUUUUUAAGAAAAAAAUUCACAUAAACAAAACAAACUCAAGAAGAUUGUUCUUGACCAUUAGCUUCCUGAGAUUUCAUAACAUCUGCUAAAUCAGCAGUUGAAUAUGGGGUAUACUCCAAAUCUUCAAAAGCAUCCGCAGUAUCUCUGUAUAAUACCCAUAAUAGCUACUUAUUUGUUAGAAGGUGACUUCUACUCACCGUACUGCAAGCCCUACUGUCGCUGGAUUCUGAGCUGUAGUUGUGGUCGAAGUCAGUCCAUAAUCCUGCAACAUCCUAUCAUCCACCAUAAUAGUAUUAUCUUUAUUAAACAACUGUUGGUCCUGCGGUGGUAUCUUUAAAAACCCUAUCAAAAAGACGGUGGUUGUGUUUUUUGCAUCUGUAAAUAUAGUCAACGUCUUCCUCCGAAUCAUCAAAAACACGUCCUAGAACAACCGAGUUGUACAAUUAUUGGCAAACAUGACUGGUUGUAAGUUAAUCCGUUAAAAUGGAAGAGACUGGAAUAUACUUAGUCGUUCUUAAUUUGGAUACUUACCAUGGUUUAACUUUAAGCAGUGGGAUGAGGUUAUCUUUUAAAAAAUAAUAUAUUGUGUAGUAUUUGCAUGAAUUAAGUGUUUAACCUAACUGAUAACUGACACAAUGACCGUUCUAAUUAAUCAAAGAACAUAGAGAAGCGACAUAGAGGCUGAUUUUGCAAAACCACCCUUAUUGACAUUGGAGUCCUCAACCGCCAAAGUAUAAGCUGGUGUGCUCAGAUCAUUUCACAACAACUGAUUUCAUUGUUGUAAAUGAGAGAAAACGAUUGAAAUCGAACGCAAUUCCCAAUGUGAAUUUAGAUGAAAGUCUACAAGCUUCUUCAACUUCAAUGAGUACUGUGAGUGCUACUUCAGCUGAUAUUUGAGAAGAGUCUCCAUCGAUGUAAAGAGGACAUUAAGGACAUUAAGUGCUGCGCAGAGAUACCAUGGAAAAAGCAGUAGCAGUACAAGUGGAAGUAAAAGCAAGAACUCAAAAAGUAGUUCUGACGGUAGGGAAGGUGAUAAGCUGGCGUUACAUAAAGAAACUACAUGAAGAAGAAUUCCUAAAUGUUGCAAACAAGUUGAAAAAGGCACAUUUGGAGUGGCGGCAACAUAAAAUGAAAUUCUAUUAUAGGUGAGUUUAGCAGCACAAACUCUUAGCAAGAGUUGCGGAUGCCCUUGAAUUUUUAAAAGAUAUUGGUAUUAGUGACUUUCAAGAUUGUGAAGCAACAAUAGAAUUCAUCAGAAGGAUAGAUUCUUUAUUUGAUAUUCUCAAUUCCCGAAGUGUACGUGCUAAGAAUUUUAAGGCAUCUUUGAGAGAAAACAAUGAAGAAAUGUGGCGUCCAUUUCUCAUCGACACCAGUGAGUAUCUUCUGAAUUUGAAGGAUGUCACUGGCAGGCCUUUGUGGUGCACGCCCCGAAAAACGUCAGUUCUGGGCUUUGUUAUUUCCGCUACGUCGUUCAUGGGAAUUUUUGAUGAAUUUGUUAGUAGUAGGAGGUUGAAUGACUUGCUAACAUAUAAAUGUAGUCAAGAUCAUCUGGAAAUUUUCUUCUGCUCAGUGCGAUCGAGAAAUGGGUGAAACAAUAACGCUACUCCUCUACAAUUUUGUAAAACUUUUAGAAGAUUGCUUCUAUUAACAAAGAUAACGAGGGAAGGAGGAAAUUGUAAAGUGCUUUGCACCACCUGUAUGCUCUCUGUUAGCACAAAAGAGCACAAAUGUUCAACAAUCAGUUGACGUGUUUGUUUUGAAAAAAUAUGAUCUCGAUAUUUUGACUGAAGCACUUGCAGACAUGACUAUGACCGUCUAAUUUUAUUGGGCUGAGUGAAGUGGCAGAAAACGUGGCAUAUAUUGGUAGUUAUGUUGUCAAAAUGGUGGUGAAGACGUUUAAGUGCGCAGACUUUCUUCUUGCAUUGAAACACGAGGAAGUGACUUACAGUUUUACAGAUUAUUGGACAAAAAAAACAUGGGGGGGCUUAUUAAACCUUUUGCUGGGGUUGUAAAGACUUGUUACGGUAAGUUGCAAAUACGAAAAAUUUUGCAACUCACCGAUAACAAACUUCCAAGCGAUGAACAAUUUUUUUAAACUUUCGGCAUGCCAGCAUUCUUUUUCCUAACUUAGAGGACCCACGCACUCGAGACGGCGGCCAUCGAUGAAGGCCAUUUAUAUAUUCUUAUUAAACAAAUAAUUAAUGCCUACAUGUAAAUAAGAAUGUUUAAUUUGAGCAAAAGACUUCAUGUCUUGCACAGGGCACUUCUGUUAGACAUGUGUACACAUAAUUGGUACUGUUUUCGCAUCAAUAAAUAUAUUUAAGUAUAA